rnacentral:lncRNA from 1 species
UUGCCAGUGCUAUUUGAUGCCCAGUUGAACUUUAGCCAAACUUCUUCAUUUUAUAAUGUUCUCUCAGUCCCAAGCAUAUAUAAUACACUUUAAUGAAAUUAUGCUUUUAUACUUGCUGACAGACAUCAGAAACACAUUUGUGCAGGUCAACAGAAGUUUAGCUAAAUGUUGGGUAGGAAGAACAAUAUUAAAAUAGUAAAGAUGUUAAAAAUAAAAAUAUUUGGAAACAAAACUAUUAAAUUAAAAUCAACUAAUCACCCACAUAAACAACUGCUACACACACACACACACACACACACACACACACACAAAUUUGGAUGCGGUGGCUAUGGGAGUUAAUGUAUAGGUCUGAUGAUUUAUGUAUUUCUUCAUUACAUAUACUAAAUUUAGGAAUUUGCAUUCUUGACACUAUGCCCAAAGGUGUAAAAUAAUGUAGUUUAAACAAUAAAGUGGAAUAACAUUGUAAGGUGACUGUAUCAAAUAUAUAUUAAGUGUAACACAUUCAGAUAAACUUAAUCAUUGAGCCUAACUAAAGUGGUAUUUUUUAUUCUUUUUAUCCUAUGGCCACUCAUAAAGGUUUUAGAUACUAUUACCAAAAGCUAACAAGCAAUGAUACCCACUUCUGAACUCUUUAAAAGUAGAGCUCUUUGUGACAAUUCAAAAAAUAUUCAAGUAUUUAUAUUUAGUGGCUAAGCAUAUAUAGCUAAUAGUGGUACAAUUACAAGACUGGAAUUGGGUUGAAAAAGUGAAUUGUGAAAAAGUGAAAACAUGGUGCAUGUUUUUAAAAUCUUUUCUAAAAUGCAACACUCCUGUUGAUACAUUACCUAUUUUGUUUGUAGCCCAUGUGUAUAUCCCAGUAUAAAGCCUUAAAAAUGAUUUCACAUGACAGUUUAGUUAUAAGCCCAGAAAUAUAUGCCUUGACAUUUGAGUUAAUAUGCCACUGACAUUCAUUCUGGGAAAUCAGUAUUCUUUAAUUGACAAAGAAGUUCCCUCUGAUUGAAAUCUGCCCAAAAUAGGUUGUCUCAUUCUUGAAGUUGUUACCUGGACAGACUGCUUUUAUUGCAGAUGCUAUGAUUAAAGGUGUGACCAUUAGAUAAUUGCUCAGAGCUGUAUAGUUUCUUUCUACUUGUUUCUUUAGGGAGACAAAUCUUUGUUUUGGUGUAUUUCAUUUCUAUAUAAAAUAUAUCUGUGGUGAUGUAGGUAAUUGGCAUUAUUUAUGCAAGACUGUUGGAAUUUAGUACUUUGUGAGAUAAAUCUGGUAAUGGAAAAGGGAACCAGUCUCAUAACAUUUUGCCUACACACACUUCUAAAAAAUUAUUUAUCAAGAUCCAUAUUUUCCUUAAACUGUUAAUUUAGAUGUGCUGAAAUAUAACCUAUAAAUUUUGUUUUUGAUAACUGAUGUUACCAAAAAAAAGCAAACCUUACGAAUCUUCACAUGUCUGGUUCCAAUUAAUCUGCUUAGACUAUUUAAUGGAUAAAAUAACAAACCUGAUUUAGUCAAUCUGGA